rnacentral:pre_miRNA from 1 species
UUAAUACUCCCUCUGUCCCGAAAUUCUUGUCUUAGAUUUGUCUAAAUACGGAUGUAUCAAAUCACAUUUUAGUAUUAGAUACAUCCGUAUUUAGACAAAUUUAAGACAAGAAUUUCGGGACGGAGGAAAUACAAA